rnacentral:snoRNA from 1 species
UUGCUUUAGGGAUGAACAGUCCCUCGUAGUUAAUAACCAUCUAAACCACUUAGUCAGUGGCCUUUUUGGUGGCUUAUCCAUCAUUAUGGGAUGGAUGGUAU